rnacentral:rRNA from 1 species
AGUUCAGUUUGAUGAUAAUACCACAUAAAAGAUGUGUGUCUUGUGGUUCUUCCCUUUGGUCCUGCACUCCCUUGCUUCGUGUCAUGCCUCUUUUGACCAGAUAGGUAUUACGUACACUCCACUGUGAACUAUAAGAGAAACGACAAGUCCAUCCAAAUCAAGUACUUAGAAGUUGCACGUGAACAAUUGCCUCCAACAUUUGGUUUAUGGUGUUAAUGACCAUAUUUGAAGGACAGGCCUGGCGCAGUGGGGAAGUACUCCACACUUGUGGCAAGAGGUCCUGGGUUUGAGGCAGCCUCUCUGCAUUGCACUGUGCAGGGGUAAGGCUUGCCUCGUAUAAUCCUUCCCCGGACCCCAACUGGUGUGGGAGCUUCUAGCACUUGGUCUAUCCUUUUUUUUUGUUAAUUUUUGGCUAAUAACCAUAUUUGUAUUUACUUUAUUGAUGUAGGCCCCGGCACAUUUCUAUCGACUGAAAAAGCUUACUGGAUCAUCUUCCCCUACAGAAAGGUUCUACAAGGCUUGCCCUAAAUCUCCCAGGAUCGGCCUAUCAGUUCCUGCAGAGAAGGUCGGUCUGUGGUCAUCAUCGAUAUGGGCAAAACAUCUGCUUCUGGUGUUGUUCAGGAGAAUGAAAAAGUUGGGAAUGGUUCACCCUCUUCUCCUACCAAGGGGAAAAGGGGAAGGAAAGGGUCCCAGAUUAUAGCAAAUAAAAAGUAUCCCCUGAGAUCUGCACAUAGUAGUACCAGGGUGCUUCGAUCUACUUCAAAAGACAAGAGUAAGACGCCUAAUGAGCCAGUAAGUCCAUUGAGAUCCGCUCAUAGUAGUCCCAGGGUUCUUCGAUCUACCCCUAAAAACAAGAGCAAGACACCUAAAAAGCAAGUAAAUUCAUUGAGGUCCGCACAUAGUAGUGCCAGGGUGCUUAGCUCUACCUUGAAGAAAAAGGUACCUAAUGAGCCAGUAAACGACAGUACUGCUGCUCAACCAGCUGCCAGGAAAAGGAAAAGAGGCAGGCCCUCAAAUGCAGCUAGUCCCAAGAAUGAGUGCAUCAAAAUUCGCCAGCGAGUUAGAUACAUUUUGAAUCGAAUGAACUACGAACAAAGUUUCAUUCAAGCAUACGCUGGUGAAGGUUGGAAAGGUCAAAGUUUGGAAAAAAUAAGACCUGAGAAGGAGCUUGAGCGAGCCAAGGCAGAAAUCUUGCGAUGCAAGUUAAGAAUUCGGGAAGCUUUUCGUAAUAUGGAUUCUCUUCUAUUGGAGGGGAAGCUUGACGAAUCUUUGUUUGAUUCUGAGGGAGAAAUAUCUAGUGAAGAUAUUUUCUGUGCCAUAUGUGCUUCAAAGCAUGUUACACUAAAAAAUGAUAUCAUUCUUUGCGAUGGAGUGUGUGAUAGAGGAUUCCACCAGAAAUGUUUGAAUCCUCCUUUGCUGGCAGAAGAUAUUCCUCAGGGGGAUGAAGGAUGGCUUUGCCCUGCGUGCGAUUGCAAGCUAGAUUGUAUUGAUUUACUAAAUGAACUCCAAGGGAGCACACUUGCUAUGCAUGACUCAUGGGAGAAAGUUUUUCCUGAGUCAACUUCAAAUGGCUUAAACCAAAUUGGAGCAUCUGAUCUUCCAUCCGAUGAUUCAGAGGAGGAUUAUGACCCUACUUUAGCUGAAGGGGACACGGUAGAUGAAAACAAAUCAUCUGCAGAGGAUGGGGACGAAGGAUCAGAUUCUGAUGACCUGGAUUUUAUUACAUCAUCCGAUGAGUCUGAACCUUCAAAGAAGAAAAGGUCUGAAUCAAAGAACAAAAAUACCGUCAAUGACCUUGCGUUGCCUUCGGAUGACUCAGAGGAUGAUGACUUUGAUCCAGAAGGUCCAAAUUCCAGUGAAGACCAAAAGACCAAAACAAACUCAGACGAGUCAGACUUCACAUCUGAUUCUGAUGAUUUCUGUGCUGAGAUUUCUAAAUCUUCUGGCAAGGAUAAAGUUUCGGCACCUUCAUUCUCAGACCAAACUAAUGGAGUGGACAUUAUGGAAGCAGAGCUAGAGCAAGACUCUGUGCUACCAGCUUCAAAUAGGCGACAAGUUGGACAUUUGGAUUACAAAAAGCUUUAUGAUGAGGCUUAUGGAAAAGAAACCACUGAUUCAAGCGAUGAAGAAGAGUGGUCUGGACAUAGCCCAAAUGGAAAUCCAGAAGACAGUGAUACAGAUUCAUUUGCUGGACCACUUAAGCCGGCAAAAACCAGAAGAGCACGAGGUGGGCGCCAGAACAAUGAGCGUACUCCACAGAGUGAACGGCACAGCGGUUCAGUAAGUGAACAGCAUCCUGAAGUGCUUUCCAAUGGCACCAGUAGCACGGCCAGGAAAAAAAGUUAUGGUCCUAUUGUUAAUCAGAAGCUCAAGGCAUAUUUCGAAAAAGAACCUUAUCCUAGUCGCCCAGCAAAAGAAAGUCUGGCACAAGAGCUUGGCCUGACAUUCCAUCAGAUCACUAGAUGGUUUUCUAGUACUCGUCAUUACUCAAGAGUUAGUGCUGCCAAAAAAGGGAAGCGUUUAGAAAACUAUACUGCUGAGAACAACGAUGGCAUUGCUGCGGAUAGCAUACAACAGAGAGAACCCAAUGGCAGUGUAUUGGGCAAACCAAAUGUAGAUAGAAACGGUAUUGUUUCGGAGGAAAGGAUGGCGCAAAAAAAUCUUGAUGAAGGUGAGAGAGAAGAUACUCCAUUCAGACAACAUAUCAGCUGUGAGCAGACACUAGAUGGGACUCCUCCUGCUAACAAACACAACACUGCCAACUCGAGGAAUGACACCUCGAGGAAUGCAGAAGAUACCCCACUCGGACAAGAUAUUGGCUGUGAGCAGACCGUGGCUGCUGUCAACCAAAACUGCACUAUCGGCUCGAGCAAUGUCGGCUCACCGAAAGGUGCGCCUGGAGGAAACAAGCGCCUUAAGAACUCUCCAAGGAGUGUUGGAAGCCCAAGACGUGGGUCUGCCGAGAAGAACAUUCCUGGGCUAGAACAUGUAGACGAGGCAAGGAGGAAGGCUAUACUGCGGGAGCUGAGGAAGAUGAAGGCCGCAGGCAGGUGAAGAUCCCAGAGAGGUAUCGUUUGAACCAUUUCCGAACCUUCAGUGCAAGUCAAGUUUUAGAUGCUACUCAACAAGUUUGAACUCUGGAUUGCUUCGCAGCCAGAGAAGAUGACUGACAGCUGAAUUGUUGUGCCUCGUUUGUUUCAAGUUCAUCAGUUGACAAGCCUGCUUAUCGUAGCCCUGUUUCUCUAUAGAGCCUUGAAUUUCUGAUUGGGUACACCUGGAAUCUGAAGUACUUCAUCCACAACAAGGGUUAAGCUGGGUGUAACAGUAUUAGCGUAGCCUGUAGACUCUAGUGGACAUUACAACUGUUGUUUGCCAUGUUCUUGUAUCAUCUUGAUGGGUAGCCAUGUUGAGAGAAACUGAUGUGAACCGUUGUUUCGAUUGUAUCUUGUAAACAUGCUGUGAAUUGAGAGUUGUUCCUUUCAUUUUUUUUCCUGGGAGUUUAAUGAAACGAGAUCAAUGACAUCCUAUCU